GCAAACCCUAGCCUGAAACCAUGUUUGAGGCGUUAUAGAGAGCCAAGGAGGUCGAAUUUUCAAGUUUGGACUUCAUAGGCGUGAUCAGCACAUCGAAAUUGCCCAAGAUCACCCUUAACACCGGGGUCCAUUUUUGGACACCCCAACCCCAAAACACUAGGUGUAAACCCGAGUGAAAGGGAGAGUGAGGAUGUAAGGUUCAGUCUGGCGGAGACAAGGCGUGCUUGUGGCGUUUGUUCAUUUGCAGAGAACGCUGCCAGCCUAUAUUUGAAUUGCAAGGUUGAGUGGAAAUGAAGGCACCUCGGUGAUUGUACCUUUUCAUAGAUGUGUCACAGCCUGUGCUGUGACAAACUUGCCUCGCAAUGUGAAAUAAGCCUUUGAAGGUAGAAGCUUGCCGUCUUGAACAGCUGUGUGCAGCUGCAAGAAGCUGUGGAUCAGCGCUGGGAAGCAAUACUCCAAGAGACAAUUAUCCACUUGUCACUGUAAUGUUGCCAUCUAGCAGCACACUGAGAAAGAGAGGAUGGCAGGCAAAAGUGCUUAAGAUGUCAUUUUAGUGCCCCAGAAUAUUUAAGACUGCUCGACAACCCAUUCGCAUCACUGCAGCCAAGCUCACUGGUACACAUCACAAGAACAAUCCAAGCGACUCUCGUUUAUUUCUGUACUUGACUCUGGCACUUAUAAAUAUGCUCAUCGACUAUUGUUGCUGAUUGCCGACUACCUGUUUCGUUCAUAUGACAAGGCUCUUCACGGAA
rnacentral:lncRNA from 1 species